rnacentral:ncRNA from 1 species
GCUUCGGACUCAUAUUGUUCAUGGGUUGAGAGCGGGAGUUGAACUCUAGGAGGUCGAAUCCCCCCUUGUUCCUCAGUAGCUUAGUGGUAGAGCGGUCGGCUGUUAACUGAUGAGAAACCCUGGAAUUAAAAAAGGGCAAUCCUGAGCCAAAUCCGUGUUUUGAGAAAACAAGGGGUUCUCGAACUAGAAUACAAAGGAAAAGGAUAGGUGCAGAGACUCAAUGGAAGCUGUUCUAACGAAUCGAGUUAAUUACGUUGUGUUGUUAGUGGAAUUCCUUCUAGUUCUAAGUUUUGCAUGUAAUUUAGACAUGACAAAGAAAAAUGUCUAUAAUGAGUCAUCUCUUA